rnacentral:rRNA from 1 species
AUUGAACGCUAGCGGGAUGCCUUACACAUGCAAGUCGAACGGAGUGGCGAACGGGUGAGUACUGUAUCGGAACGUGCCCAGUAGCGGGGGAUAACUACGCGUAAGCGUAGCUAAUACCGCAUACUAUUGGCGCGGCCGAUAUCGGAUUAGCUAGUUGGUGGGGUAACGGCUCACCAAGGCGACGAUCCGUAGCUGGUGUGAGAGGACGACCAGCCAGACUGGAACGGAGCCACGGCCCAGAGUCCUACGGGAGGCAGCAGUGGGGAAGUUUGGACAAUGGGGGAAACCCUGAUCCAGCCAUCCCGCGUGUGCGAUGAAGGACUUCGGGUUGUAAAGCAAUUUUGGCAGGAAAGCGGUACCUGCAGAAUAAGCACGGGCUAGCUACGUGCCAGCAGCCGCGGUAAUUC